rnacentral:rRNA from 1 species
CAGCAGCCACGGUAAGACAGAGGAUGCAAGCGUUAAUCGGAAUUACUGGGCGUAAAGCGCACGCAGGCGGUCUGUCAAGUCAGAUGUGAAAUCCCCGGGCUUAACCUGGGAACUGCAUUUGAAACUGGCAGGCUAGAGUCUUGUAGAGGGGGGUAGAAUUCCAGGUGUAGCGGUGAAAUGCGUAGAGAUCUGGAGGAAUACCGGUGGCGAAGGCGGCCCCCUGGACGAAGACUGACGCUCAGGUGCGAAAGCGUGGGGAGCAAACAGGAUUAGAUACCCGAGUAGUCCCUGUCUCUUAUAC